rnacentral:tRNA from 1 species
GCCUGGGUGGCUCAGUCGGUUGGGCGGCUGACUUCAGCUCAGGUCAUGAUCUCGCGGUCCGUGAGUUCAAGCCCCGCAUCGGGCU